CCCUUAGAUGUUCUGGGCCGCACGCGCGCUACACUGACGAUGGCAACGAGUUUUUCCUUCGCCGAAAGGUGUGGGUAAUCUUUUGAAACAUCGUCGUGCUGGGGAUAGAUCAUUGCAAUUUUUGAUCUUGAACGAGGAAUUCCUAGUAAGCGCGAGUCAUCAGCUCGCGUUGAUUACGUCCCUGCCCUUUGUACACACCGCCCGUCGCUACUACCGAUUGAAUGGAUUAGUGAGGACUCCUGAUUGGCGCCGCCGCCCCGGCAACGGAGCAGCGGACUGCCGAAAAGUUGUUCAAACUUGAUCAUUUAGAGGAAGUAAAAGUCGUAACA
rnacentral:rRNA from 1 species